rnacentral:rRNA from 1 species
CCUACGGGGGGCAGCAGUGGGGAAUAUUGGACAAUGGGGGCAACCCUGAUCCAGCCAUGCUGCGUGUGUGAAGAAGGCCCUCGGGUUGUAAAGCACUUUCAGUGAGGAAGAACGCCUGGUGGUUAAUACCCAUCAGGAAAGACAUCACUCACAGAAGAAGCACCGGCUAACUCCGUGCCAGCAGCCGCGGUAAUACGGAGGGUGCGAGCGUUAAUCGGAAUUACUGGGCGUAAAGCGCGCGUAGGUGGCUUGAUAAGCCGGUUGUGAAAGCCCCGGGCUCAACCUGGGAACGGCAUCCGGAACUGUCAAGCUAGAGUGCAGGAGAGGAAGGUAGAAUUCCCGGUGUAGCGGUGAAAUGCGUAGAGAUCGGGAGGAAUACCAGUGGCGAAGGCGGCCUUCUGGACUGACACUGACACUGAGGUGCGAAAGCGUGGGUAGCAAACAGGAUUAGAUACCCGAGUAGUC